GCUGGGUCUCGCGCCCCCCACAGCAGCCCUCCGGCUCCAGGCCAUUCUCCCACGAGGCGGAACUACGACUGCUCCAGCUGCAGGGUCUCACCCUCCGCCUUUGAAAUUGCCAUGCAGGUUGUCUGCAUGAAACAUGGUCACGAUGCUGAGGAAACCUUUUGCUCCUGCUGAGUACUUACCACCUGCAUCUUCAGUCCUUGUGAGAACCACAUUGUUCCACUGGCAAUAAAUGGAGGGCCUCCCAGGCUGCGCUUCUCACCUCAUAAUGAGAAUUACCAGCAAGCCUGCAUGGAUUCAAAGUGAUGUGAGCCUGCUGCCCUUUUUAGUAAUUAAUGAUGAGAAAGGCAGAAGAGAUAUGGGCAGGGCCAAGGAAAUCAACAAGGGAUGAGGAAGCACCCAGAGAGCAGCGAUAAUGGAGAGUGCCCUGUGAUGAAAACUGGCAAUCCCAUGGAGCCACCACUAGGAGACCGAGUACCACCUGAGGACUGAAGCAUCUGGCCAGUUGUGGUACAUCAUCCCCCUCUCACUGGAACAUCCACAAGUAUUAUUAAGCCCACUUUACAGAUGAGGCAUGUUAAGGAAUUUACCCAAUACCUCACCUCUGGUAAGUGGGGAAACCAAGAUUUGAAUGGAGAUCUGUCUGAAUCUAAAUGUCAUGUCCUUUCUGGCUGCAGCCAUUACAUCUCUCAUUAAGACAGAAAGAGGAGGAGAGAGGGAUGUCAUCACCCUUACCUGCCCCUUUUGUUAUGAAAGCAAAAGCUACUGUAGUCACCCCAGCAGACUCCUGCUUAUUUCUCAUUGGCCAGAAGUGUGUUCCAUGACCCCCUUGCAUGGCCCCCUUACAUGCCUACACCCCUCCCCUCCAGCUGCAAAGAAGGUUGGGAAGGUGAGUGUUUGGCAAGUGGAAACACUCACAAGGAAAGUGACAAGGGAGUAGGAGUUGGAAAUGAUUUUUGGGUCAUCUGACUGGUUGUUGACUUCUUUUUUACCAUUUUUUAUGGUACAUCCUUUCUUUAGAUAAUUUGACACAUUCCAUCUGGUUUUGGUCAAUUAAUGCAAGACUCUUCACUUUCUGGGUAUUUAAGGUGACAGCAUAUUUCCAAUCUACUAUGUUUUGGUUUUACAGUUUAGCUCUGAAUGCAUUUUGAUCUUUCCUAUUUCUUGGUUUAUGAGAGCAACUUCACAUGAAAGCCCAUGGGUGCUAAUAGUAAUGCCUAUGGUACCAGGAUUUGAGAUUAAGAGUGAAAAGUCCUAAGCAUAUUCCCUGGCACAUAACAGAUAUUCAGCAAAUGGUCACUAUUAUCAUUAUUCAUCAUCUCUACCUUCGGAUGAAACUUGGACGAUAGAGGAAUAUCUUGGAGGGAAGAGGCUGGCUAUGCAGAUGGUGUUAAGUGGAAUUUGGAUGUGUGAGCCCUGGUUAAGACACCAAGAUGCUGCAUUCUUGGCGAAGUAUGUAGAAUGGAUGGAAGGGCAGAAUUCAUUAGUUCAGAGACUAGCUAAUAGAUGUAGGAUGAUUUAAACUGAAUAGGGCAGGAGAAGAGAGAAAACCACAGCCAGAUAAAUCAGUAAAAUAGGUUCUGUAGAGAAUAGGAAUUGUGAGUUAAAAGAAUGGUAAAAUUGUGAGAAACUGUUGGGAUUUUGAGAUGAUUGGGAAAGUGAACUCGUUUUGCUAACCUGGUCAUAUUUUGAUUAUGUCGUAUUUGCUUUUGCUUUGCCUUCUUAACAUAAUCUAAGACAAGCACCAUCCUAAUUUUCUCAAAGUGGAUGAAGUAGAUUCCAAACCUAGAGAUGGCAUUUAGUCUAGAUGAUGAAAAAAAGAUGUUCUUGGGUGCUGCCUGAGGGGUCUAUGGAAAAUCAUAAUGGUAUCAUUUAUAGCACAUUUACUUUGUGCCAGGAACUGCUCUAAAUACUUUAAUUUCAUUUAAUCUUAACAAUAGUCAUACACAGUAGAUACCUUUACCAUUCCUGUUUUAUAGCUGAGGAAACUGAAGGACGGGGAAUACGUGACUUGACUAAACUCACCUAGCUCAAAGUGGUUUAAACCCAGCCAUCCUACUCUGGAGGCUAGGCUGAGUCCCUGUGUCAAUAUGGGUAAGUUAGGUCAGCUUAAAUUAAUUUUUUUCUUUGACAGGUUUACUAAACUGGCAAUUAGGGGCAAUGUAGUUGUAAUGUGCACUUGCUUUUGAAGUAUUCUAUUCUAUUAUAGAAGAUGAUUAAGUUUAUAGGCAAAACAUUUUAGGAUACAUUAGAUAUAGAUAAGCAGCUAGUAAGUAGAGCAUGUGUGUGUCAAACACAGAUGGGAAGGAAUAAAAGGGCCAAAAGAUGUCUGAUGUUUGUGAAGUCCUAGGUGCUAAAUAUCCAUUUUAUAAAUGUACAUGGGGUGUAUGAGAUACUAAAUAUAAAAAGGCAUGAAAUAUUUAGGUUACUAAAUGAGCACAUAAUAUUCACGAGGCCCUAAUUCACAGCAGCCAUUCUGGCCCCAUGUGUCCUCUGCCCAAGAAAUGCAAAUAAACCCAAGGGCUGUUCAUUGGCUGACUGGUGCACUAUAGCUGUGGCCAGAGGUACUUGUCCCCUUGUUUCUCUAAUGGAGACAAUGUGUGAUGGGCUCAGGGCACCUUCCAUCCUUGGGCCCCCAUGCUCAAGUCUCAAUUUUAAUCUUUGUAACCAUGCCAUCAGUAGGAAAGGUGUGAGUGUGUAUGUGUGUGUGAGUGAGUGAGUGAGAGAGAGAGAGAGAGAGAGAGAGAGAGGAAGAACACAAAAGAACACAGCUAACCCAGGAUUUAAGAAGCAAGGUCCUUCCCCCAUUUCUACCCUAUCUUAAGUGCAUUAAUUUAUCCUAGCCUCUUUUCUUUCUUUCUCACUGUGUGUUAUAAAUGGAUUUUUUUUU